rnacentral:rRNA from 1 species
GAAUAUUGGACAAUGGGGGGAACCCUGACCCAGCCAUGCCGCGUGUGUGAAGAAGGCCUUUUGGUUGUAAAGCACUUUAAGCGAGGAGGAGGCCACUCUGUUUAAUUCCUAGCGAUAGUGGACGUUACUAGCAGAAUACGCCCCGGCUAACUCUGCGCCCGCAUCCGCGGUAAUACAGAGGGUGCAAGCGUUAAUCGGAUUUACUGGGCGUAAAGCGCGCGUAGGUGGCCAAUUAAGUCAAAUGUGAAAUCCCCGAGCUUAACUUGGGAAUUGCAUUCGAUACUGGUUGGCUAGAGUAUGGGAGAGGAUGGUAGAAUUCCAGGUGUAGCGGUGAAAUGCGUAGAGAUCUGGAGGAAUACCGAUGGCGAAGGCAGCCAUCUGGCCUAAUACUGACACUGAGGUGCGAAAGCAUGGGGAGCAAAC